GAGUUUGAUCCUGGCUCAGGAUGAACGCUGGCGGCGUGCUUAACACAUGCAAGUCGAACGAACCUUCGGGUUAGUGGCGGACGGGUGAGUAACGCGUGAGAAUCUGCCCUCAGGAGGGGGAUAACAGCUGGAAACGGCUGCUAAUACCCCAUAUGCCGCGAGGUGAAAUGAAUUUCGCCUGAGGAUGAGCUCGCGUCUGAUUAGCUAGUUGGUGUGGGUAAUGGCUCACCAAGGCAUCGAUCAGUAGCUGGUCUGAGAGGAUGAUCAGCCACACUGGGACUGAGACACGGCCCAGACUCCUACGGGAGGCAGCAGUGGGGAAUUUUCCGCAAUGGGCGAAAGCCUGACGGAGCAACGCCGCGUGAGGGAUGAAGGCCUCUGGGCUGUAAACCUCUUUUAUCAAGGAAGAAGAUCUGACGGUACUUGAUGAAUAAGCCACGGCUAAUUCCGUGCCAGCAGCCGCGGUAAUACGGGAGUGGCAAGCGUUAUCCGGAAUUAUUGGGCGUAAAGCGUCCGCAGGCGGCCCUUCAAGUCUGCUGUUAAAAAGUGGAGCUUAACUCCAUCAUGGCAGUGGAAACUGAGGGGCUUGAGUGUGGUAGGGGCAGAGGGAAUUCCCGGCGUAGCGGUGAAAUGCGUAGAUAUCGGGAAGAACACCAGUGGCGAAGGCGCUCUGCUGGGCCAUCACUGACGCUCAUGGACGAAAGCCAGGGGAGCGAAAGGGAUAGAUACCCCUGUAGUCCUGGCCGUAAACGAUGUACACUAGGUGUCGGGGGAAUCGACCCCCUCGGUGUCGUAGCCAACGCGUUAAGUGUUCCGCCUGGGGAGUACGCACGCAAGUGUGAAACUCAAAGGAAUUGACGGGGGGCCCGCACAAGCGGUGGAGUAUGUGUUUAAUUCGAUGCAACGCGAAGAACCUUACCAGGGUUUGACCUCUUGCGAAUCUCUUGGAAACGAGAGAGUUCCUUCGGGAGCGCAGUGACAGGUGGUGCAUGGCUGUCGUCAGCUUGUGUUGUGAGAUGUUGGGUUAAGUCCCGCAACGAGCGCAACCCACGUCUUUAGUUGCCAGCAUUUAGUUGGGCACUCUAGAGAGACCGCCGGUGAUAAACCGGAGGAAGGUGUGGAUGACGUCAAGUCAUCAUGCCCCUUACAUCCUGGGCUACACACGUACUACAAUGAUACGGACAAAGGGCAGCAAGUUCGCGAGGACAAGCAAAUCCCAUAAACCGUGGCUCAGUUCAGAUUGUAGGCUGCAACUCGCCUACGUGAAGGAGGAAUCGCUAGUAAUCGCAGGUCAGCAUACUGCGGUGAAUACGUUCCCGGGCCUUGUUCACACCGCCCGUCACACCAUGGAAGUUGGCCACGCCCGAAGCCGUUACUCCAACCCUUGUGGAGGAGGACGUCGAAGGUGGGGCUGAUGACUGGGGUGAAGUCGUAACAAGGUAACC
rnacentral:rRNA from 1 species